CUCACGUUCCUGCCCUGGCAGGUGACCACCCUCCCUGAGAGUGUCCUCAGCUUGCGGGCAGCUUCUUCGUUUGUCCUCCCAAGUCUCCCUGAUUCACCAAGUUCUUCAUCUGUGCUUUUAGCAGUUACAUCUUUGUCCAUCAAGGCAAAGCAGCAGGACUGACCAUCUGGCUUAAUGGGCAUAUAUUGGUUGAGCAACAUGCAACUAUUCUCACCAAGCUGGAUGGAGCAAGAAAUGGAGAGAUCAUCCAUGUCGGCACUCCCUUUCGAGGACCCGCCAUGCCGCCGUGCCUGCUGCUGCUGG